UAAAACCGAGUUUGGUGAGUUUGGCGAUGGAGGGGGGGAUAGGACCGACGAGGUUGUUCAUGCGAGAGAUGUAGAGUGAACCGAGGUAGGGGAGGUUGCCGACGGAGGAAGGGAUAGGGUAGGGUUUGGUGAGGCUAAGGCCGUUGAGGUCGAGGAUGUUGACGCGGUAUGAUUUGGUGUCGAUGUCGCAUGAGACACCUUCCCAUUCCGGUUUGCAGCAGUCGGUGUUUGGGAGCCAGGAGGAGAGGGUGGUUGGGUUGCCGAGGUCUUUCUUGAUCUGGAGAAGGGCUUGCUUGUCUUGUGGGUUGCAUAGUUCAGAGAGUGCAGUUCUCAAGACCAGGACCAUGAUGACGAGUACGAUGAUGCUUAAGCGUGCCAUGCUCUUAGGGAUUUCGAUUCUAUGUUAUUUGAUCUGUGAUGGGUUGUGACAUAUAUAGAAGAAGUGUGGAGGGAAGAGAGAUACAGAGAAAAAGAAAAAAGUUAUUGAGCACCACUUUUGGUUUAUUCAGCAGUGCUGUUGCUAUGUUAUUGAACACGUCUUUCUUUUCUUUACACAUGGUUUUACACCACAGGAUAAUUUUAUGUGAUACCAGAUUUUUCAAUGGUACGUUGGUCAUCUUACUCAUCAAAAUUUUGUUACUAUUUACUGCAGAAUGGGAGUCAUUAGCUCAUUUAAAACAAGUAAUUUUGGAUAAGGGAAGAUUCCACAUAAUUAUUCAGUAAUACUGUAGAAUUCAAAACUUGCAUGCUGGAUAGAGUAAUGUUGAUUAUUGAUGAUUUCUUCUCACCUAUGAAUGAAAUUGUUCUUUUUUGUCACAUUUGUCAUAUUUUUUAUUUGCUCGAUGAUUCAAGCUAUUACUACCUGUCUCAAUUGAUUAGUGCAAUUGUCUCUUUUUUGGGGUUACUUCACAUUAGCAUACAGGUUUGCCAACUAUUUUUACUGUUAUCCAAACUUGAAUAGCUUUCAUAGUUAUGCUCUGUCAUUAACAUAUAUACAUUAUUAGUGUAAGUUGGCCUACCUUAAGAAGAAUUUUGCCAGCUAUGGUACUUUCAUCUUUGGAGAUCUUUCAAGAUAUUUACAACAUUCUAUUUUUUAUUUAUUUAAAAAAAGUAGGAUAUAAUAAAACUUGAUGAAGGUUUCGUGGAGAUAUUAUUUACAACACAGCCUUUUGAAAAUUUAAAAUUCGUUUUCCCUCCCCGAGCUAAAUAUUGGAUCAAAGGUCCUUUUCUUAAUUUUCACAUUUUUUUCAACUCUUUUUCUAUUUUUGGGCAGGUUUUUAUUAUCUACAUGACCCCCUUCUUGCCCUGGACGAGGAGGAUGCAGAUAUAUGACUUUCUCCACGUUAUUGCUCUGCCUUUAAAACAUGUUUUCACAGGCUCUUGUCCUUAAUUUAUGUACUUACCUUUGUCAUUUUACCAUAGGAUUCCUUUUAUGCCCUGUACGUUCAGACACUUAUUUUGCUUGUCAGAACAAUAUGUUUUUUGUACCUCAUAUUACUGGGUAUACUUCCAUCCUAGUACUUUUUAUCUUUUGAAGUGCAAAUUUCAAAAUGGGCUUGUAUUGUUGAAGUCCUCAUAUUAUUAUUGGGUGAAUUGAUAUGCUUGAGUUCUAAGCCAUUUGUGUGUGAAAUGCAAUUCAUCCUUAUCUUAGAUUCCCGGGUUUAUGGAAAGUUGAACUUUUUAAUGCUGUUUUACUUUAUUCAUGAAUCCCAGUAGUUAACAUUUCAACCGUUUAAAAGAUUAUUUAAAAUUAUAAAUACUUACACAUUAUUAUUUAUCUGGAAAAAUAGUAAUCCUCUAUAACAUCUUAUUUAUUUAAUAAAUGGUAUUAUUAGGAUGAAGGGAAAGAGAGACCGGAAGUUAAAACUUCUAAGGGUUUUGGUUAUCAUGGAAAUGAAGGAGACAAAAAUUAUUUGGGUAUGUUACACGUGGAAAAUAAUUUUUGCAAAUAUAAAUUUUAUUAUCGAAAGUGCUGUUUAUUGCAAAAGUGCUGUUUAUCGCAAUGUGUGAAAUUAUUUUCUUAAUUAAAAGUAAUAAAGAAUAUUUAUUGGUAAUUCUAUAUUCAAAUAAUUAAUACAAAUAUAUUUUAGUUUAUUUUGUAUCAAUCCCCGUAAUAUAAAAAAAACUUUUUUUUUCCACUUUCAGCAUGAGUUUCUCUACUACAACAAGCUCAAUUAAAAAUAUAUAUUUUAUGAUAAAAAAAAAAGAAUUCGUCACAAUAAUAAAAAAUUGUGAUAAAAUAUGAAAUUGUGAUAAGAAAAUGUAUUAUUAUUAUUAGUGAUAGUAAAGAUACAGUAAAAAAAUCAUCGGGUGUGUUUGUUUCAACAGAUGUACUGUUGGGGAAUCUACUGUUGGCGAAGACAGAAAGUGGAUAGGUUCCGUUGUUUGGAUCUGCAUAUGAGAGAAUGUGAGUGGGCGCGGAAGAGUGGGAGAGGAGCUGAAAUGCAUCUUCACAAAGUAGCGGAGAAAUCAAGAGGAUAAGAGAGAAAGUGCUUCAUAAAUAUGUAAAAUACUUAUAUACCCUUAUUCUAUUUUUUUUAAAAUAUAACUGCACAUAUAAUAAAAUAUUAAAUAUAUUUUAUUUCAAAUAUAUUUACAUCACGAUAAUAAAUAUAAAUUAAAAUCACUUAAUUUUAUUCUAAAUAAAUUGUAAAUAUUCAAGAAAUAUUUAAUAUAUUCAUAAUAAUAAAAAAUAUUAAAUAUAUUUUUAAUAACAUAAAAAUACUUAUAUACCUAAAAAUAUAUUUAUAUAUUUAUAAUAAUAAUCUAGAUUUUAAUUUAUUAAUGAGAAUACAAAAUUUAUUUAAAUAUUUAAAUUCUAACAAGGAUUAAAAUUUUAUUAGUGGAGAUAUUUUUUAUUUUUCUAAUUAACAUUAUUAUGUUCUUCAUUUUUAUAUAAUUUCAAAAUUACAAACAAAUUAACAUGUCUUUUAUCUCUUUUCGAAUCAAAUGUAAUAACUUUAUAUUAUAUAUUUUGACAACUAGUUAAUAUUUAUGUUAUGUUCUAAAUAUCUAUUUUUUUUAAAUAUAUUCAUUUUUUAUUGAUAAUAAGGGAAAUCAUUAUUAAAAAUAAUUUUAUAUAUUUAUAUUUGUAUAGCAUAACAUAAUUUAAAGAAGCAUAAAAAAUAUUAAAAGUAUGUAAAUAAAUUAAGUAAAAAAAAAAUAAAUCAAUAAAAUGUUAAAUAAUAAAAUUAUACUUCAAUUUUAAAUUAUAAUUCAUUAUUUCUUUGAUUUUUAUAUAUUUUUUUAUUUAUAAAUGAUACUUUAAAUUAUUUUAAUUAACUAAAAUAUACAAAUAAUAAUAAUUAAUCAUUAGUUAUUCUUCUUUUAUAUAUAAGGGUAAAUUUGUAAUCUUACAACUUUUAUUAUUCAAAAUAAUUUAUAAUAUUCCUACAACUAUCACAUCAUUCACUCAUUUCAAUAAGUUUUCCUCACACAUUCACUCUAACAUACUUUAAUCCAAACAACCUCAAUUUUCUUCACACUUUCUUCACACUUCCACUCCCCCACACCCUUAACUUUCCACUCUCUCACACUCUCUAAUCCAAACAAAGCCUAAGAAUUGUGAUUGUGAUGUGUUAAGAUUAAUUCUGCCAUAUCUCUAAUUUUCAUUUCACUUAUAGGUAUAGACCCUCACCUAGAUAUCUUCUAGCUAUAGAUCAUUUCUCAAAAAGGAGAUUACAUAACUAUUGACACACCUAUCUAUAUUUUUAUGUUUUCAUUUGUCAUUUACAUAGCAACCACUUUCAUUAGAGUUGAAUCUUAAUUAUUAUUUAGACAUAAAUCAUCAGCUUCUAGUUAUAAAGUUUAGAAAUCGACUUAAGGAUCAAGAGGCCCUAAACACUAUGAAACAUCCUGUCCAGAUCAUUUUGUGUAUCAUAUUAACAUUGAGGAUAAUAAUUUUUCUAAUCUACCUGACUAUACAAAUAGAUAGACAAGCUUUUAUCGUCUAAUGAUGUAGAAUGCUAUAACAGGUUUCGUAGACGUCCUCUUAUGCAGUUAGCAUUAUCUCUCCUAAGGUAAUACCUUACCUAUCAUUCCACCACCUACCACUAGGGCUGGCAAAAUGGGGCGGGUCACGCAGGCAGGCCUGCAACCUGCAAGAAAUAACGCAGGGCAGGUUCUCUUAUUUGACACGCUAACCCAUUAAAGCCCACCCCGCAUAACCCGCGGCCUGUGUGGGCUUACGACGGGGCUGGACGGGUUGGCCUGUCAACCCGCAGUAAACCCCAGAUGCAACCGCCCCCCCCCCACCGCGCAGUUCUCGCGCCCUCUACUAGCCAAGAAACAACUAUGUGUUGUUGAUUCCUCCACCACGUGCAAGAUUUGCGACCGCCCUCCACCACGCACGAGAACUACGACUACCCUCCACCGCGAGAGAUCUGCAAUUGUCAUCCAUCGCGCGAGAUCUGAGAUUGCCCUCCACCGCACGCGAGAUCUGUGAUUCCUCUCCACCGCACGAGAUUUGCGAUCGCCCUCCACCACGCGAGACUGAGACCGCCCUCCACUGCCAACACCAUUAUCUCUGCGAGCGUCCUCCACCACGAACACCACUAUCUUUGCAACUGUCCUCCACCGAGAAGACCACCAUCUCAUCCACCACAUCACCACUGCGAAGUUAUGCGAGCCAGCCCGCAAGCGGGACAAUCCAUGAAAAUCAACCCGCAUUUUAUAUGCGGGGCGGGCCAACCCGACCCGCUUUGUCACCCCUACCUACCACACAAACCAUAUACCAUAUAUAGAUUGUCUAAAAAAUACACAAACUGAACCAUCUUCACUACCACCUAAGCUUAACAUUAAAUGCUUAAAUUUCAUCAACACCAACUUGUUUGCCCACCACUGUCUACCCUAUAUAAGAUUCUCCCUUCUAACUAUUCCUCUUACACCACCACCCAUUCAUGGAACCCUUUUCAUCCUGACUACAUUUGCACCCUAACCCCUAUCAAUCCUACCUUACUGCACAAAGACUCUUCAUUAUAAAUGUUCUUCAUCUUCACCGUCUAGACCAAGGCUUUGGCCAUAUUUUCGAACAGACAUUUUCUUUGAGUCAUAAUAUACAAAGAACCUUGGCUUAUAUUGUAGAAGAGAUAGUGGGGGAGAUUAAUUGCAGUUUUUCCCUUUUCUCUAGCUUGAAGAGGGAGUUCUUUUUAUCCUACUUUUAUCAUACAUGUUAAUUUGACUGCCUUUGCAUUAAGGACACUGCAGGAUUUAAUGGUGUGGGAGGAGAACACUAGUUUAUGACUUAUCUUUUGUUGAUUUGUUUGGUUUGAUUCCAUUAAAAAAAUAGUUUUAUGAUCGUCUAAUGGUUGAUAUCUUUCAUUAUUCUUAUAAAUUUUAGUUUCUUUAUUUGUGUUAUUUGAAGUUUUAAAAAUAUUGAUAAAUAAGUUGGUUUUGUAAAUUAUGGGUUGAAUUUUUUGUGAUAAAACUGCUUGUAGUGAGAUUUUGAGCUUUAUUGAUAGAUCAUUUGAUGUUUUGUUUGAUAAAUGUCUGUCUGUUAAAUGUCUAAUGCUCUCUUUAUUGUGUUUUCACAUGUUUGCUUAUACUUCAGAACUUAGUUUGAUUCUUUGUUUUGCAAUUGUGUUUUACGUACAUAAAUUGAUAUGAUUGAGAUAUUCUUUGUUAACCCUCAUGAUAAUCCACUUGCUACCCCUUUGUUCCUUACUGGUAGAAAAUACACAAUUUACGACUCUCUAUAAAGACGAUUAUUAAAGAAUAGUCGUAAUAAGAAAGGCAGUGACAAUUUUUGUAAAUUUUUUCAAUUUUUAGUGUUUUUAAUAACGAUUUAGGCAGGAAUCAUCGUUAAUUGUGUAAUAGUGUGGAAAUAAAUACGGUUUUGUACAUAUUCGUCGUUGAUUAGCUGUUCAAGAAAAAAAAACAAAGCCUGUACACGCACCUUUCUCUUUCCCUCACUCAUUUUCACUCUCUCAUUUUUGCACAACAUUCUCUCCUCACCCACAAUCAGCGCCAGCUGCGCCACCUCCUCCGAUCGCGCCGCCACAAGCAACCGCCACUCCUCCAAACCACAGCUCUUGCCGCGACCACGAGCUCCGUUCCAUCAGCCUCCUCCGCCACACCACCCACCACAACCGCUACGAAGCAGAUCCAUUCAACUUUCGCAUCCACCGCUAGCCCUCUCCGCGUGCCGCACCAACCAACUUCCUCCACCGCACAAACCACCGUCUUUUCCUAGUCGUCACCGCAUCCCCCUCCCGUCACCAUCGGACUUCCGUUUUGCUUAACUUCACUGUAUCGUGCACGCCAAAACGCAAAAAGGUUAGUUUAUUAUUUAUUUAAUUAUUUUUAUAAUAAAUAUUUUGCAUGUAUAUUUAUAUUUGUUAGUAUUUUAAUUUAUUUAUAAUAAAUAUUUGCAUUUAUAUUUAUAGUAGUUAGUAUUCUAAUUUAUUUAAUUAAUUUUAUAAUAAAUAUUUGCAUGUAUGUGCUUAUUAGUAAUGAUUAGCAUAUAUAUGUAUUCAACACGUUGAUUCUGAGUUCGAGGGUGUCCGACCCUCGAUACAUUUAAUUUAGUUAUAGGAUUUAUAUUUGUUGAACAUGUUGAUUUUGAGUCCGGGGAUGUAUGACCCUCGGCACAUUUGAUUUAAUUAUAAUAUGUUAUUUAUUUAAGACGUUGAUUUUGAAUCCAGGGGUAUCCGACCCUCAACAAUUUUGAUUUAAUUACAAAAUUUGUAUAUAUCGAACACGUUGAUUCUAAGUUUGAGGGUGUCAGACCCUUGACAAUUUUGAUUUAGAUUUUGUUAGUUUACUAGUUCUAUGGAUCAGAGUUGGAUUAAUACACCAAGGAUAAGUGAUGCUUACGAAAAAGGGGUUGAAAAAUUCUUAUAGUUUGUGCAACAUAAAGCCAUUAAUAAUCAUAAUGGAGUAAGAAUAAAGUGUCCUUGUGUCAAUUGUUUGAAUGGAAGGAUAUUGAGUGUUUUCAAAAUUAGAGAACAUUUUUUGUGUGAUGGAAUUUUGAAAAAAUAUACAACAUGAACGUGACAUGGUGAAUUGUUAGACUUGCCAAGUGUGCGCAAAGCUUCAGAAGAAGUUGAUUUCUCAGUGGACAAUAGAUUAAAAGACAUGAUUCGUGAUGUGGGAACAUAAUCUUUUGCUAAUGCAGUUUUCGAAAAUAUGUCUAAUAAUGCAUAAACUACUUUGUAUCCUGAUUCAAUUAACUUCACACGAUUAUCAACAGUGUUAAGGUUGAUGAAUUUGAAGGCAUUGAAUGGAUGGACCAACAAAAGCUUUACAGAAUUGCUCUAAUUGUUGAAGAACAUGCUUCGAGAAGGAAAUACAUUACCCAAUCGAAAUUAUGAGACCAAAAAAAAAUUAUUUGUCUGAUGGGUAUGAAAUAUAAAAAAUACAUUCAUGUCCUAAUGAUUGUAUUUUAUACAGAAAUGAGUACGAAGAUUUAAGAUGUCCCAGGUGUGAUUUGUCACGUUAUAAGGUUAAAGUUGUUUAGAAUGAUGAAAUUGAUGAAUUCAUAAAGGAAGGUCCUUCUCUUAAGUUUGUUUGUUAUUUUACAAUAAUUCCAAAACUUAAACGUUUGUUUGCAAAUACAGAUGACGCUAAAAACCUUAAGUGGUAUGCAUAUAAUAGAAAAUGUGAUGGACUAUUUUGUCAUCCAACUGAUUCUUUCUAGUGAAAAAAGAUUGAUAAACAAUUUUCUAAAUUUGAAAAAAUAUCAAGAAACUUAAGACUUGGAUUGACAAUGAUGGAAUGAUUCCAUUUAAAAAUUUAAGUUGUAAUUUUAGUUCAUGGUUUCUUUUGUUAGUGAUUUACAACUUACCUCAUGAAGCGCAAAUAACCUAUUUUCAUUUUAAUAUUUUUCAAUAUUAUUCUAUUAUUUUAAAUAUUUUAUUUUUUCUUAAAACAUAAUUACUUUGAUUUUUUCUUCUUUUUAAUUAGAUAUUUUUUGCAAAUGAAACUAAUCCACUAAAUUAGAUACAAUUACUAAUAUUAAUUGGAAUAAACGAUAAUAUAAACAUAAUAACUAAGAAUCUAUUAUGACAAUUAUAUAUAUAUAUAAGUUAUUUAGGAACGAAAAUAAUAUUUCAAUAUGAGUUUACUUAAAAUUUUAUGACUCUUCAAUUUCUAACAACUCUCAUACAGCAUUAAAAUAUUAACACAUUGGAUUAGAAAUUUUCUUGGAUUAUGAUCUUGAUUAUAUAAUUUUAAAUAUGAAUAUUAAAAUAAAACAGCAGCAUAGAAUAUACUGAAAGUGAGUAAAAGCGGAAGCAAGAUAGGAAUAAAAAUACUGAUAGCAUCACAUUAGAAUAGGUAUUUUUAUUAACAUUAAAAACAUAGGUUAAACGUGGAUUAAUUACGAUAUUAAACCACGUGUAAGACGCAGGAGAAAACACGCGUAUUACCUAUUUUGUGAAUGCUGAGUAAUUAAGUGCAAGAAGGAAGUGGAGAACCGCACAGACACUUGUUAUGAGCAUAGGAAGAUUCAUCAAAUCUCUGCAACUUUCCACCUUGAGGAAUCUGACCACACAGAUUAUUGUAGCUCACAUUCAAACUCUUCAGAUACUUAAGAGACGUAAGAACCUUGGGAAGCGUCCCAUAGAUACGGUUGUUCCUAAGAUCCAACCCCUCUAAGUCCUUCGACUUCGACAACCUUAUUUUCCCCAAAUCAAAAGCCAGUAAGUUCUUCGCCAGGUUUAUCUUCUGCAAAUUUACCUUAUUUGCCCCAAACAGCACCGAUGCAUCUCCUUCCAGCAUGUUCUCAGACAAGUCCACGAACGCCAGUUCCAGCUUAGCCAGCGUCGCCGGUAUAUUGCCGGUGAGACGGUUGCGGGAGAGUGUCAGCACCGUGAAAUGCUUCGGGAAGGAGCCGAAGGACCCCGGGAUGGUGCCGGAGAUUCGGUUGCCGUCGAGGGAGAUUCCGAGGAGGUUGGGGAGAGAAGAGAGGGAGGGAGGUAGUGUGCCGGAGAGGGCGUUGUAGGAGAAGUCAAUGGUUAUAAGGGUUUUCAUUUGGGACAAGAAAUUGGGUAUCUGGCCAGAGACGUUGGUGUGGGUGAUGUAGAGAAAACGGAGUUUGGUGAGUUUGGCGAUGGAGGGGGGGAUAGGACCGACGAGGUUGUUGAUGCGAGAAAUGUAGAGAAAACUGAGGUAGGGGAGGUUGGCGACGGAGGAAGGGAUAGGGUAGGGUUUGGUGAGGCUAAGGUCGUUGAGGUCGAGGCUGUUGACGCGGUAUGUUUUGGUGUCGAUGUCGCAUGAGACACCUUCCCAUUCCGGUUUGCAGCAGUCGGUGUUUGGGAGCCAGGAGGAGAGGGUGGUUGGAUUGCCGAGGUCUUUCUUGAUCUGGAGAAGGGCUUGCUUGUCUUGUGGGUUGCAUAGUUCAGAGAGUGCAGUUCUCAAGACCAGGACCAUGAUGACGAGUACGGUGAUGCUUAAGCGUGCCAUGCUCUUAGGGAUUUCGAUUCUAUGUGAUUUGAUCUGUGAAAAGUGUGGAUGAGUUGUGACAUUUAUAGAAGAAGUGUGGAGGGAAGAAAGAUAAGAGAAAAAGAAAAAAGUUAUUGAGCACCCCUUUUGGUUUAUUCAUCAGUGCUGUUGUUUUGUUAUUGAACACGUCUUUCUUUU
rnacentral:lncRNA from 1 species